rnacentral:rRNA from 1 species
UGGGGAAUAUUGGACAAUGGGGGCAACCCUGAUCCAGCAAUGCCGCGUGUGUGAAGAAGGUCUUCGGAUUGUAAAGCACUUUCGACGGGGACGAUGGUGACGGUACCCGUAGAAGAAGCCCCGGCUAACUUCGUGCCAGCAGCCGCGGUAAUACGAAGGGGGCUAGCGUUGCUCGGAAUGACUGGGCGUAAAGGGCGUGUAGACGGUUUACACAGUCAGAUGUGAAAUCCCCGGGCUUAACCUGGGAGCUGCAUUUGAUACGUGUAGACUAGAGUGUGAGAGAGGGUUGUGGAAUUCCCAGUGUAGAGGUGAAAUUCGUAGAUAUUGGGAAGAACACCGGUGGCGAAGGCGGCAACCUGGCUCAUGACUGACGCUGAGGCGCGAAAGCGUGGGGAGCAAACAGGAUUAGAUACCCUGGUAGUCCACGCUGUAAACGAUGUGUGCUAGAUGUUGGGUAACUUUGUUAUUCAGUGUCGCAGUUAACGCGUUAAGCACACCGCCUGGGGAGUACGGCCGCAAGGUUGAAAC